CCGUGCUAGAUGGGGAGCUAGCGGUGCCCUGUACUCGCAAUCCGCUAUAGCGAGGUCGAACUCCCUCCCCAGGUCCCAUCUUCAGGCCGCUGUCCCGUGGCAGGGUGUUGAGGGCUGGGCCCUGCGCGGCGGGUGGCCGUAAACCCCGCCAGGUCCGGAAGGAAGCAACGGUACACGGAUUCGCCCGGGCGCCGCGGGAUAUCUAGCCUGAGCCUUCCACUGGAUAUGUCUGUGGGCAAGAUCGAAGGGGGGUGCACGG
rnacentral:SRP_RNA from 1 species